ACAGAAAAAGCAGGAAAUAAAACAAGACAACACUAUUAACAUAACAUCAGUACGGGAAAGGAGGCAAGGGAAAUAAAGUGAAAAAAAGAUCACGCUGAUGGGAAGAAACCAGAAAGCCUCCCAUCUCAGGAAGUUGCUUAGUUUUAAUUUGCUCAGAGGAAAGGCUGGGUUAGGCUAAUGCAUCUUGGUGAGGGCAAAGCCCAAACAAGCAUGGACAGGAAUGAACUGUGAGAAAAGGCUUAAUCACCCGCAGCAGGGACACCAACUUUCAAGAAGAGUGACAGUGUCUCAAUGGGAAAACUAAAAAGAUGAAUGUUAUUCGAAGACAGCCUGAAAAUAGCAGCAACCACAUCAAUGGAGACAAGCCAGCCAGAUGUAGUGGAUCCAGAAGCAAGAGUCUCAGUAACUGUCUCAACUGUUUUUGUCUUCUCAAUCACCAUCUUCCCAGUUAAGGUUCAGACUGAGAAACUGGUUUUCUUACAGGUAAGAAAAGAUGAAGAGACCCCAGACUACUUAUAGAACAGCUUAUGUUUGAAUCACUGACUCUCAAGCUCCAGGUAAGUAUUUUUUAAGGAUUUUUCUAAGAUUCUUUAACUCUGCUGUCAAAAGCUAAAAUUUUACCUUGUAGUUCAGACCAAUGUGAACCACUCAAAUGUGGCAUUUUAACAGCAGACAAUUUAGCUUCUCCUUAUUUUGACCACAGUGCUAUAAAUAUUUCUGUUUAUAACAAGUGUGCAAUGGAGAUGAAGAAACCUAUUAAUAAUGCUGCAGCAGCAAACACCGACUUAACGUUUUAUCUUAGGUGGGAUAAACAUCUUUAUGUAGUGUGGUUAUCUGUCAUAACUACAUUCUCAUAAUUCUAGGGUAAAAAUAACUUUGGGCUAACCAAACAGAAAGCUAAGGGAAACCAACUUGUUGCAUAACGAAACAAACAAACAAACAAACAAAAAAACCCGAUUUUUAAAUGACAGAGUACCUGGUAUUAAUUUAGUAGUGUGGGAAGAUAAUGAUAAUCCCACCUUCACUGAACUGCUCUGCUAGUCCUUCUGUGACGGCUGAACACCUGCCAGUAAAUCAAACAGACUCCCACCUAGUCAUUAUGGAAUCACCCAGGGAAAGGGGAGGGUGCAGGGGACAAACACACAAGCAAGUCCCUACAGCAGUGAAGUGGACACAUGGCCACCAAGAGGAGGGCGCAAUACAAAGAACAAUAUUGAUGUCGCAUCUUUCGUCCCCAUUGGUGGGAAGCAGAGGCAGACUGGUCUGCCUAGUGAGUUUCAGCCUGCCAGAGCUACAUAGCAAAAUCCUGUCCCGAAACAAGAGAAGACAAUGAACUUAAGGGAGGUGGUGGUGGGAGGCAGGGCGAGCAGGCUGCUCAUUUGAAGGAAUGUUUCUGUUUGCGUGACGCAGGCUCUGAAUCUGAGCUGGUUUCAAGUGCACUAAAUCUUCCCGCCUCAACUAUUGUGUUCCAUGAGCCUCAGCCCAGCUGAGGAAUUUAACUUCUUAAAGGAUUUUAACAGGCACAGUCGUUUUGUGGAAAUGCCCUCUUGCAUAAUUCAGCAAGGUGUGUAAGUCCUUACCACCUCCAUACUUCAUCUCCAACGGCAAUACUUUUGGUUUGCGAGACAGGGAGGAUUUCAGUUAUUUCAUCCAGUCAUUCCAAAAUGACAUAUGGUGUAGAAAAAUCUACCUUUAGACAUGCAGGCUCAGGUGUUCACGGGAUAUAGUGAAGAUGUCUAAAAUUAGCUGCAAAUGUAGGCAAUUUGAGGGGAGGGAGAGAGACAGCAGGUGAUCAGCUAGACAGUUUCAUGUACACCGCACAAAGACCAGGGGUGAGGCUAGGAGGGCUCGGUCAAAACAUACCAGUAUUGUUUCAGCGAACAAAACACAUACAACACACUACAAAGCAGCCUGAAGGACCGACCCAUCAGAGAGAAUGGGAAAACUCACAACACAGUGACACUAUCCUAGUGAGUGAGUGUAACCAUCACAGGGAGGGUACCACUGUCCCAGAGAGAAUGUCUCUAUCACAGGGAAGGCGCUGCUAUUACAAACCGAAUGUCACCACCAUAGAGAAGGUGUCACUACCAGAGGGGUUGGAUGUACAGUUAAACCAAUGUAAAUGUAAGAACGUCAAAGAAACACUCUUUACCCAGGGACUGUAGGUCUAACAUCUCUGGCACCAGAGACCUGGCACCAAAGGCCCUUUGCUGUCUUUUAUAUUUAUGUGACACUGGAGGGUAACUUUACUUACUUCAGGGCCUUCAUUAUAUCACAUACAAAGACGAUGAAGUUACUUCUAUUUGGCUAACAUGGGAGAAAUUUACAUGUUUGUGCUACAACUGCUAGACUAUAGUUAAAAAUCAGUUCAUAAGGAAAGGGUUUCCAGUUUCCCCGCUCAGGUCUACGGCGUUUUUGCUACAGAUUCUCACUAAAUGAGAGGAAACAUUAGUCAUUUCCUGUUGCAUAUGUAGAUGAUCAUGAACUUCUAGACAAACUGAACAGUGCAGAUGAGGAACUUGCUCGGUCUCACAGUAGUGGGGAUUUCCACCUGGCUCUGGAGUAUAUAUCACUCUGUGGAGCUUGGGACCUCAAUGGUACAGAGUACCAUGCUCCUUGUCACCCAGCUCAGCACCAACCACUGUGCAGUGCCAUUCUAACCAUCGGGACAAAGAAACAGACCUAUGCUCCAUGGCUGGCAUUGCUGGAUGAAUGACAAUGAUGACAGUUGGGCUUGUUAACAUGUACUCUGGCACAAUACAUCAAGACUAAGAAGGAAAACCAUGAAGCCUGUCUUGGAGGUGACAACUGGCAAUCGAGACAGCAGUGUUGGCUUUGGUAUCUCGAGAAGGAAAGCCAAAUAGAAAGUGGCAAGGUCACAAUAGAAGACCUGGCCUAGGUGCUCAAUUCCAGAGAGUGGCGGAGUGAAGGCUCUCACUCUCAGCUGCCUGCCUACGAUCUCUACAAGAAUACCCAGGGCAAGGGGAGUAGGCCACUGGUCUCUUCUGAACAGAGGCAGAGGAAAGCCAGGGAAGAGUCCCUGCUUAACAUAUACUAAAUCACUUGGGCUUAAUUUCAUUCAUUGUAAUCUAAUAAUAAAUAUCUGGGGCACUCUUCCUGGGGAGUUGGAUUAAUUAUGACAUUCUAUGGACUGAGAUAGGUCAAAAAAAUUGAAAAUCCUUACAGCUUUCUGACAAGCCCACUUCAGGUAUGGCUGCAUGUUGGUCUUCAGAGUACAACCCAUUAUCCACUGAACUCUCAUCCAGUUCAGCCCCAAGGCUAGAGGAUUCAUCUGAACACUAAUUGGUCUCAACUGUAAUGGAAACAGUUUGCCUUCACUAUAGUGAAAUCUUUAGUACUGGGGAAAAAAAAAGUAUUUGUGUGACCCAUUUUUAUUAGUUGCCUACUCAAUAUACACUAUACCUUUCUUUGUAAAACAUCAAUUUUAUCUGGAGCCAGCAACUCUUGAACAUUCUGAAUGUAAGGACAGGAAAUUGGCUGGUGGAACUCAGGGAAAGCUCCUUUUCCACACAGGAGGCAAUGGUGACACAAUGGUCUUCUAACCUCAGUGCCCCUGGCUUGUGACACAAGCCUGAAGAUGGAAACUAUGUGUUAAGGAAAGUGAAACAGACAUACACCAAGGCUUGGGGCUUCUGUUACCAACUCCAGAGUUCCUAACUCAACUUCUUUUUGGGUAUGUAUAUGUACAGAGUACACAUCUGUGCAGCCGCAAGCUAGCGUCCAGGCCAAUCACUCUACCCGAUUUUAAGAGACAGGGUCUUUCACUGAAUGUGGAACUCAUCGACUAGCUGGACUGGCUGAUCAGUGAAACCCGGGAUUCUCAUGGCUCUGCUUCUGCUGCACCAGGACUAAGGUGCAUGCCACCAAGUCUAGUUCUCACCUGAACAAUAGCUAGGGGUCAACAUACAAGAAUGUGUGUGUAUCGUAUGUGCCUGGUGCCCACAGAAGAUGGCAUCACCUCUUUCAGAAGUGGAGUUACAGAUGGCUGUGAGCCACCCUGUGGGUGCUGGGAAUCAAAACGGGGCCCUCUGUGAAAGCAGCAAGUACUAUUAAGGGCUGAGCGUCUCUCCCCAUCAUUUUUAGUUAACCUUAAUAUGUAGUGUUGCCACCACAGG